AGAGUUUGAUCAUGGCUCAGGAUGAACGCUGGCGGUAUGCCUUACACAUGCAAGUCGUACGAGAGUUUUUAAUUCAAGUGGCGGACGGGUGAGUAACACGUAAGAAUUUGCCUUUAGGAGGGGGACAACAACUGGAAACGGUUGCUAAUACCCCAUAUGCUUUCGAGUAAAAUGGAUUUUUCCGCCUAAAGAGAAGCUUGCGGCUGAUUAGCUUGUUGGUGGGGUAAUGGCUCACCAAGGCGACGAUCAGUAUCUGGUUUGAGAGGGCGAUCAGACACACUGGAACUGAGACACGGUCCAGACUCCUACGGGAGGCAGCAGUGGGGAAUUUUCCGCAAUGGGCGAAAGCCUGACGGAGCAAUACCGCGUGAGGGAUGACGGCCUAUGGGUUGUAAACCUCUUUUUUCAGGGAGGAAUCAAUGACGUGUACCUGAAGAAUAAGCAUCGGCUAACUCCGUGCCAGCAGCCGCGGUAAGACGGAGGAUGCAAGUGUUAUCCGGAAUCACUGGGCGUAAAGCGUCUGUAGGUGGCUAAUUAAGUCAACUGUUAAAUCUUGAGGCUUAACCUCAAAAUCGCAGUCGAAACUGGUUGGCUAGAGUAUAGUAGGGGUAAAGAGAAUUUCCAGUGGAGCGGUGAAAUGCGUAGAGAUUGGAAAGAAUACCGAUGGCGAAGGCACUUUACUUGGCUAUUACUAACACUCAGAGACGAAAGCUAGGGUAGCAAAUGGGAUUAGAUACCCCAGUAGUCCUAGCUGUAAACAAUGGAUACUAGAUGUUGAACAGAUCGACCUGUGCAGUAUCAAAGCUAACGCGUUAAGU
rnacentral:rRNA from 1 species